GACGAACGCUGGCGGCGUGCCUAAUACAUGCAAGUUGAGCGCUGAAGGUUGGUACUUGUACCAACUGGAUGAGCAGCGAACGGGUGAGUAACGCGUGGGGAAUCUGCCUUUGAGCGGGGGACAACAUUUGGAAACGAAUGCUAAUACCGCAUAAAAACUUUAAACACAAGUUUUAAGUUUGAAAGAUGCAAUUGCAUCACUCAAAGAUGAUCCCGCGUUGUAUUAGCUAGUUGGUGAGGUAAAGGCUCACCAAGGCGAUGAUACAUAGCCGACCUGAGAGGGUGAUCGGCCACAUUGGGACUGAGACACGGCCCAAACUCCUACGGGAGGCAGCAGUAGGGAAUCUGCGGCAAUGGACGAAAGUCUGACCGAGCAGCGCCGCGUGAGUGAAGAAGGUUUUCGGAUCGUAAAACUCUGUUGGUAGAGAAGAACGUUGGUGAGAGUGGAAAGCUCAUCAAGUGACGGUAACUACCCAGAAAGGGACGGCUAACUACGUG
rnacentral:rRNA from 1 species